CAUCCCUCCAUCAGAAGUCAGGCAUCAUUGGUUGUGCGCGUCAAUUAAAGUCACAGCGUGAAGGCUUUGCUUUGUUGCCUGUCAAAUUGUUUUUUACUUUUCCUAUUUCUCUUCUUGUUUGCAAUUUUUGACUUCUUUUACAAUUUCUGUUAGAGUUAAGAUUUGUUGACAAUUUUUAACUGCAAAAUCAAACUAAUUAAUGUUGCCCAUUAAUAUGUGAAAUUAAUAUGUGAAUGUGAUCAGAGGAAUAUAAUUUGUAAGUGUGCUUUGCUGGACCCCUGCCCUGGACGACGAGCACUCCAAACUAUUCUCUGCGACAUGUCUUCAAGUUCGAACAACACAAUAAGAAAUCGAACUAUGACCAUCUGAAUAUCAAAGAAAGGCGAUCAACACAGCAAAAUACGGGGUUUGGCUUGAAGAUAAAUACACAUUUGCCCGCAAUCGUCGCGGCGGUCUUAAUUUAAUAUAUCAUGGAUAUUUGUACACAGCCGAGAGGAGAUACAAUGCAACCGUAAACUGGGUGUGCAAUAAGAAUAGCAAUACAUCGUUACGAUGUCCGGCUAGAUGUGUAACAGCUGGGCAAAACACAAUUAAACUUGGACUGAUCAAGCGUAACCGUUUUGAGAACUAUACGGUUAUAGACAAUUAUCGCUUUGUUAAAAGCUCCAAAUCAGCAAGCGCAUUCUACCUAAAAUGUGCCAACUUUCGGAAAUCCUGUCGAGCCCGUGCCGUCAUACGUAGGGAUACGUUAAAGGUCCAAUUGAAAGAUGCCAAUCACAA
rnacentral:sRNA from 1 species